CAUGCUUACUACUACAGGCUGCUGGAAGAUGUUGGGGAGAGGAUGGUCCUACUUUCAGGAGCAUUGGUUGUGCUUGGAAAUGAAGCUUCUAACAGCAUGCAGUUUCCACCCUUCCCCUAAUGAAGAAGUGGCUGUUCCACUGGUGUACUGUGCAUUCCUUGGAUUUCAGAUGCUGAGGGCUCUUUGCUGUGCUGGUUUCCUGUGGGUUGGGUCAGUCAGCCAAGAUGUGGCUGGUGCUGCCUUUCAGAGGUCACACACCUGCAGAGGUUUGCCUCAUCCUUCAGCCUGCACAGCUACAGCUCAUUUCCAGCAUGGGAGAGCCACAUUCAGGAGCUGGAGCUGUGAAGUGAUGAGCAGAGCCCUCAGCUGCUCCAGCUGUUUCUCUUGGUAGAUGAAGAUCAGCACAGCGAAGCUGGAGGUGUCUCCAGGUGAGCUAAGGAAAAGGUUUUAGAAGGAAAAAAGACAGAACACCCCAAGACCCUAGCCUUUAAAAGCUAUAAUCUGAACAUACCCAGCCAGAAAUGCCAGCAAAUCUGUUUUCUUAAGGGUAUUCUUUAGUCACCAAUUAACAUUUUAAAGUCCAAGUCUCCAAGAAAAGAAAAGCAGUUUAAUAUAAAUAUGUUGGGUGAGUUGAACUGACAAAUACUUUGAAAUAUGCAUUUAAAAAUAUAAUUAGUGUUUUUUUGUUCUCAGGCUUGUAGUUUCUGGGCCAAGCACCUUCAGACUUCAGAAAAUCAAUUAUUUUUCCUCCUCUCCCUCUCCUCCCACCUAAUUUGAACAUUAUUCCCUUUCCCCAGUGUGGUUCUUGUUCUGCUGUCUGCUAGGCAUGCCUCCUCCUCCAAACACAGACAAAACCUGCAAUGUAUUUAAAAAUAAA